ACUCAAAGGAAUUGACGGGGGCCUGCACAAGCGGUGGAGUAUGUGGCUUAAUUCGAUGCAACGCGAAGAACCUUACCUGGCCUUGACAUGCAUGUAGUAGGAGGAUGAAAGUCCGACGAGGUAGCAAUACCAGCAUGCACAGGUGCUGCAUGGCUGUCGUCAGCUCGUGUCGUGAGAUGUUGGGUUAAGUCCCGCAACGAGCGCAACCCUUGUGUCCUGUUGCCACCCUGGCGAGAGCUGGGAGCACUCUGGACAGACUGCCUCGCUUAAACGAGGAGGAAGGUGGGGAUGACGUCAAGUCAGUAUGGCCCUUACGGCCAGGGCUGCACACGUACUACAAUGCCCGGCACAGAGGGAAGCAAGACUGUAAAGUGGAGCAAAUCCCAGAAAACCGGGCCCAGUUCGGAUUGUCGUCUGCAACUCGACGACAUGAAGUUGGAAUCGCUAGUAAUGGCGCAUCAGCUACGGCGCCGUGAAUACGUUCCCAGGCCUUGUACACACCGCCCGU
rnacentral:rRNA from 1 species